rnacentral:sRNA from 1 species
UAACUUAAGCAACGCAAACCCUACCUGCUUUCGCGUCUCUGCAACUCCGUGGUUGCGCCAGAAUGAAUAAGUAUCUUCAAAAAU